rfam:Felis catus isolate Cinnamon breed Abyssinian chromosome B2, whole genome shotgun sequence.
GCCUGGCUGGCUCAGUCAGAGGAGCAUGUGACUCUUGAUCUCAGGGUCAUGAGUUCAAGUCCCAUAUUGGGUG